CCAAUAUACACUUACGAGAGAUACGUUGAUAAUACAAAGGCAAAAAUCUUCUCCUUGCACUAUUUUGGGGCUUGAGGGAGGUAGGGGGGGGGUCAGAGCAGGUAGGGUAGGGUUGGGUUGGGUUGGGUUGGGUCAGGUUAGGUUAGGUUAGGAUUGAACAGAGUAGGAUAACACCAGCAUUACGUGGAGUGAGGGCAGGAUUAGUGGGGGGGCAGUGUUUGGAUAUGGAGGGAGGUGG